rnacentral:lncRNA from 1 species
CAAGGGCCCUCUUGCAGCAUCAUCACAGGUCAGACAGUAGAAGGACAAACGGGGCAAAAGAAAGUUUUGGGCAGAGCUCUCAUGUCCUAGUCACCUCUCAAGGGGCUCAUCUCUUAAUACUGUUACAAUGGCAAUUACUUUUCAACUUGAGUUUUAGAGGAGACUUAUUUACAUCACUAAGACAAGACACUCUUAUGUUCCCUCCCAUUAUCUGAAAAUUUCUAUUAUCUACAGAAGUCAGCCUUGGGAAGCCUUGACAAAUUAUUUAGGAGCUCAUAUAUAUGGAAGCAGUUAGACACAACUUAAAGUUCUACCUUACUAGGCACUCCACCUGUACUAAUCUCUCAAAAAAUUUCUAGUCGUUACUCUCUUUCAUUGAUUGUUUUAAUUAAUAUAGUAUAUCAAGAUGAUUUUUUCAUGUAGUUUUAUUGUUGUUUUUAACUUUUUUUUCUCAACUGGCAUUGACAUAUUCUUCUCACAGCUCAAACCUACAAAAAUUAUCUGCAAUACUGAAACUCAAAGUAUAAACUCAGAGGAGGAUUGAUGUUUCUGUGCUAAUUUCUAAAAAUUUCUGAUAUUGGCUUUUAUUUUAGAUUUUAUUUUUUAGAUUUGCUUCUUUGGGGAGAAAGAAUAGCAACUUUUUCUCUUAAUCCUGGUUUAGAAAGUAAGGGCUUUAAUAACCAACAGACUUCUCAUUAUUUAUAUGAGAGGAAAAUAAGUCUGUAAAUCUCUGGUUGCUCAUUUCAAAUAGUUAGAAGAGGUAAAAUCAGAGCAAGGGGCUACAAAACUUUGUGAACUUAACUGGAUUGUUGGAGUACAAAUUACUGGGUUUAGGCAGUUGGGAUAACAACACAGUAGGAUACAGUUAUUAUGAAUACUUGAUAAUACAUAGGCUUAAAUAUUUACUUAAACAUUUAUUAGGUAUGUCUUCUACAUACUAGACACUUAACUGUAAGUUUGUAUAUAUUUACUUCAUGUGUAGGUCACUUUGUAAUGAAAUUAAAUUAACUUAAAUCUCAGAAAUGCCAUAAGACAUAUUUUAAAAUGAUAUCUACAUAUUAGUGAUGCUUCAAUAACUGGAGAUCACCUGAUUCCAAGUCAAUUAAUGCAUCUCUCAUCAUUGUUAAUCAAUCAAAAGUAUGUACCAAGGGUACUGUCACCAUCAAUUGACUGAAUUGUUCCAAAUUAAUGCAUGAAAAAUAAUAAAUUCUCAAAGGCCAAUCUAUUUAUUUUUAUAUGCCAUAUGUUGGGAUGACCCCUCCUCUCCUCACCUCAAAAAAAAAAAAAAAAAGCAGUUGUCUUAGUUCAUUUUAUGUUGCUAUGAUAAAAUACUGGAGACAUUUACAAACAAUGAAACUUUAUUUAGUUCAUGGUUUUGGUGGCUGAGAAGUCCAAGAGUAAGACAUUGGCAUGUGAUAAGAGCCUUCUUGCUGCAUUAUAACAUGACAGAAGACAUUAUCUGGCAAGACAGAACAAGAGUGUAUGUGCUCAGGUCUUUCUUCCUCUUCCUACAAGCCACCAGUACCAUCAUGGGGCCCCACCCUGAUGACUUUAUCUAAUCUUAAUUACCUCUCAAAGGUCCCACCUCUACAUACCAUCAAUAUAUGAAUUUGGGGAAUAAAUUUUCAACACACAAAAUUUGGGGGACAAAUUUCAAACUAUAGUAGUGGUUCUGUGUGGUUUUAAAAUCUUGGAUUAUUUUCUUGAUCAGUUCUUACACUUUUACUUCACGCUAUUUUUUACAGAGAUUUUAUGUUUAUUGCAGCAUUACAUCAUCACAUGCAUACAUCACAACUAUCAUAGCCUGUAUUCCCUGAGCACAGAGUAUAAAAUAAGGGCUGUGGGCUGGGUGUGGUGUCCCACACCUGUAAUCCCAGAACUCUGGGAGUCCGAGGCAGGUGGAUCGCUUGAGUUCGAGACCAGCCUGGCCAACAUGGAAAAACUCCAUCGCUACUAAAAAUACAAAAAAAAAAAAAAAAUAGCUGGGCGUGGUGGUUAGUAUCUGUAAUCCCACCUACUCAAGAGGCUGAGGCACAGCAAUCACUUGAACCCAGGAGGCGGAGGUUGCAGUGAGCCGGGGUUACACCAUUGCACUCCAGCCUGAGCAACAGAGCAAGAAUUCGUCUCAAAAAAAAAAAAAAAAAAAAAAAAAAAGCUGUUUAUAGAGAUACAGGUUAAUUGGGUUAAUUGAAAAGUGGUCCCAGAGAGCAAGAGUGAAGAACUAAAAGCUGGAAAGAUGAAGGCAAGAAAGGCAGGUAAGCCAAUUCACAGAGGUUUGCUUGAACUAGCUGUAUCUGUGACUAAAGUGUUUGAUCUAAUUAGUCCCCCUUCUUGGGAGCCUAUAGAAUAUGUUACAGAUUAAUCUAUCAUUUCCUGCCCCCCAUUGUUUGGGUUGUUGAGGACGCAUUAGUUCCCUGCAUUUUGAGUUUGCACAUACAUGAAUGCAUGUGUUCAUUGUCAGAAUGAGACAGCUCUGAAAGAAAAAGAGGCUCCAUAAAUAUUUGAGGCCAGCUGCUUAGUACUAAAAAAGGCUGAAGCCCACUGAGAACAUUACAGCUAUGACUGGGCUUAGUGGACAGACCAAGAGACUGUUAAGCUGUGCCCAAGAGGUAUCCAAAACAAAAACGUAGCCAGGGACAUUUGAUAAGUGUUUGAUGUUUACACAAUCACAGAGCAAAUAUUACUGUCACUUAUAUUACAAACUGUCUUUAGCUCAUCCCAAAUACUAUCCUGCUUCAUUUUUUAUGUGUUCUCUAUUCUCCCUUCUUGUCUGGAAUA